AUUGAACGCUGGCGGCAGGCCUAACACAUGCAAGUCGAACGAGUGGCGGACGGGUGAGUAAUGUCUGGGAAACUGCCCGAUGGAGGGGGAUAACUACUGGAAACGGUAGCUAAUACCGCAUACCAUCGGAUGUGCCCAGAUGGGAUUAGCUAGUAGGUGGGGUAACGGCUCACCUAGGCGACGAUCCCUAGCUGGUCUGAGAGGAUGACCGGCCAAGCGGAAACGGGGAGACGGUCAAGACUCCUAGGGGGGGAAGAAGUGGGGAUUGUUGCACAAGGGGAGAAAGCCUGAUGCAGACAUGCCGCGUGUAUGAAGAGGGCCUUGGGGUUGAAAAGUACUUUCAGCGAGGAGGCGUUACUCGCAGAAGAGGCACCGGCUAACUCCGUGCCAGCAGCGGCGGAAAAC
rnacentral:rRNA from 1 species